GGACUGGACUUUCCAGCGGUGAAUUAUGUUGGAAACACCAACACUGGAAACUCUGGAAAGAAGACUCUGAUCACGUCAGGUCACCCAUGCAGGUCCAUCUGUGGCUCUGUACACCACUACCAAAUGUACUAUGAAGGCUUUCUUCAGAGCGCUGCACUCAAGAAGAGCACCUGAUAAGACACAGAAUCAGCAUGAAUAAGAUCAGAGAAAUACAUUCUGAUCUAAUGGAGCCGUUACUGUUAGUGAGAUGUAUGGAGCGCCGCUGUGAUGAGAUGUUUGUGGGAGAGCUGUCCAAACCAAAGUUUUUGUUGAUUAAAAACUGAUCGGGGUGGAGAGGUGAUGGCAGAGACUCAGCACUUUGGUUUGCAAAGCUCAGCAAAACAGCGACGAGCAAAUGAACACUUCAUCAGAGCAGAGAGAUCUAUCGCCAUACAUCUGAUAUCUGCAGUUUUCCUCCGCAGAUCCAGAUUACUCACUGUACAGUGGAUUAUUCACAAAUGAAAGCACAUGCAACUUGUUAUGAGACCGUUUUCAACUUUAACCCUCUGAUGCUCAAAACAUGUUGUACUCUAAAGCUGUGAGAAAAUAAAAGCCAAAAAUCUAAACAAAAA